AAUACACGUGGUCGUAAUCAGAGUUACUCCUCCUUCCUCUUCCUGUCUCUUCUUGGAUUUGUAAAGAUGCAGCUUUAGGAGCGUCACAGCCACAUUCUCAUCUGGAAACCUGAGAUAAAUCAAGUCGCUGGUCUCGUACGGCUGAGAGCGAAGCACAUGCACAAAAACAGGUGGUAAAAAGCUGCGGAGCAGAACAACAGCCCCAGGUGAUCCUGAGCUGUAAUGAACACGGGGAACUGACCACCUGGCUCUAUGUGACAGGACGUGGUUAAAUGAUUGCUCGCCCUCAGGCGGAGGAGAGCGCCUUCACCAGGUUUAACCGGUGAAUGUUUGAGACAGGAACAGGGUGUUCCCCGUCUCUCGCCCGGUGUCAGCUGACGGAUGGAUUAAAUUCUUACAAGAUGACGGUACGAGCUGGAAUGUGAGCGACUUUUACAACAAAAACAUAAUAAUGAAAAUUGUGCAAAUACAAUGAAAGUAAAGGGGGACACACUCUGGUGUUGUUGACAGUGACACACAUCGACACGCCAAGUGUUUUCACUCCUACAGGUGUCGUUAAAAACCUGUUCAGAUUGUCUGGCUGGAGCGGGAAAGUGAACACAGGAAGAAGGUCAAACUUCACGAGUUCAGAACUCUUUCAGACCAAAAACAAGCCGCUAACGAACCCGGGGUUGGUUAUGGACCGGGCAGAGACCACCUCCUCUAAAGGGGCUCGGACUGAUUGUUUUGGUCCACGCCUGAGAGCGAUUACCGUUUUCACACCUGCCCAAACGAAUCGUACCAAGAGGGUUUAACCGACGUUCAGAGCCGACGUUUGGUAGUAGAGAGGAGGAGAGUGAGGGGAUGGAGGCUGGAGUGGUGGAUGUGUCCAGACCAGACUGUAGUUGCCACGGGCAGAUACAGUAGAAAAUGUCCAUCCAUCCAUUUUCUUCCGCUUAUCCGAGCUCGGGUCGAGGUGGCAGCAGGCUGAGCAGCACGCACCAGACAUCCCUCUCUCCGGCAACGCUUUCCCGCUCCUCCUGGGGGAUCCCGAGGCGUUCCCAGGCCAGAUGGGAUAUAUAAUCCCUCCGGUGACUUCUGGGUCUACCCUGGGGGCUCCUCCCAGUUGGGAGGCGCCCAGGAGGCGUCGUUAUCAGACGCCCGAACCACCUCAGCUGGCUCCUUUCGACGUGAAGGAGCGGCGGCUCCGCUUUCCGGCUCAGCUCCCUCUUCACCACAACGGCCCGGUACAACGUCCGCAUUACUGCCAAUCUCCCGCUCUACCCUUCCCUCACCCGUGAACGAGACCCCCAGAUACUUGAACUCCUUCGCUCCUUCACCCGGGGCAGUAACUCACCCUCAAUCCGGAGGGAGCAGUCCACCGUUUUCCGGCUGAGACUCAGAGAUGCUGAAUCUCAUCCCCCGGCCGCUUCACACUCGGCUGCAAACCGGAGGUCAAGUUCUGACCUCCGGUAGAAACGUCUUUGGGUUUUGUACCAAGAUCGUCUACUUUAAAUAUCAGUAGCUACACCACAGUGGAGAAAUAAAAGUAGAAAAGUAUAAACAUUAAUGCAGCUUUAGACGUACUCAUAAUACAGAAUGACAUGUAUAUGACUGGAAUAUAAUUAUUGAUGCAUCAACGUGUAAUCACUCGUUACUUCUGGUGAAGGUGGGGCUGAUUUUAAACACGUCACAGUUUAUUAUUUGAUUUUGUUUUGUGUAAAAACUACAAUAAUAAACUCAGAAAUGUAAAUACGAGUAAAUACAGUUAUUUGUUAUGUGACACUGUGGUAGCAACAGGCACAGUGAUGCGUGUUGAUGUGAUCGUCAUGACGACGACGAUGAUGAUUCUCUAAACGUACUGUAAACGUUUCUCAAAUGCUUUUUCCUUUUUUAUUCAGCUGUAUGUAAUUGUACACUUCCUGUCACGGUGCAAAAUAUCAAAAUAAAAGCCCAGGCGGUUCCAUCAAAUAAUGAACAUCUGAGGGUUUUAUUCCCCAAGAAGCGAAACCAGUCGGGACGUGGGUUUGGUUCCAGUUCACUGAAAUAUUCUGGUUCGUUAACAACUAUUUAUAAAACUUUUAGGAAGUCAUUUAACUAAACAGCAAAUAUGUAAUUAAUUUAUUUGAAAAGUGUAGUCCCUCUUAAAAUUGUUAUAAGCUAAACCUAAAAAAUGUUUUUAAAAAGUCAUCACAGAAUCAUCAUUAUUCAUAUUUGAUAAUCAUAUUCCUUAAUUUAAGCUAACGGGGAAAUACCUCCUGACAUCCAUCCUGACGGGGAACUCUAAUGGGCUGCAACAUCAUGUAACAGGAUUUCAGUGCCGCCAGAACAUCUGAACCGCGCUCGCAGUAUUAAUAGACAGAUUAAAAUGGGACAUGAAGAAGAAGGCUUUAAUCUAAAACUAUAAUGCCAUUUUGAUAAAAAAAAACUAUAUGUAUUUUUAUCUUUAUAUUUCUCUUUGAUGGAUAGAAAGGUAGAAUAUUAUUUUCAUGCCAGUAACUCUUCCGGCCGACAUGAAGAGGUGGUAAAUUUUUAAAUCCCAUCUUGCAGAGCGUCGUCUCAACUCGGAGUCGCCUCGGUCCAUUUAUCAGGCUCCUGUGUGAUAAAUAAAGCUCACUCGGCUCCAGUUGUCUGAGAGGCAAAAAAAAAAAAAAACCCCUCCGUUGUGGCUGGUGCACGGGCGAACAAUGUCUUCACAACAGCAUGUCAGCAACACGCAGGGUCUCCAUCAUCAUCAUUAUCAUCAUCAACAUCCUUUUCCAGAGUCCCGCACUCCAUCUCUGCUGAGCGAUAAAAUGUUUGAUCAGUUCAUUUCAGUGUGGCCUCCAGUGUUUCUGGCUGCCUGCACUUAGCAUGCAAGAGACAGAGUGAGAUUAAUGCAGCGGUUUAUUCCUGCAGAAUCGCAGGCAAAUAGAUUCACUUUGAUGCGGCCACGCAGGACACCUUGCUGUUGAAGCUGCCAGGCGCCUGCGUCACGUCGGUCCACGAGUGUUUUACAGCCACCUCCUCCUCCUCCUCCUUCUUCUUCUUCUUCUUCUCCUCCGCCGCUGUGAGGUUAAUCGAGGAUAAACAGGUAACCUAUUUACUCUGAGGAAAAGCUUCUACCUCAAAGCGUCACUUCACUGCAGCGUGCAGACUUCCUCCUGACUUAAAAAGACUCAUGAAUGUGUUUGAAGCCACGAAAUUCCUGAUUUUGAUAUUUGAAAAGUGCAGGAAAGAAAAAUACACAAUGUAGAUGAACAAACCACAAAAACAGUUCUGAUUUUAAAACUGACGCGCUCGGUCACAACAGCGUUUGUUGUCCUUGAAAA